UUAAGAAUCUUGCGCAAUGGGGGAAACCCUGACGCAGCGACGCCGCGUGCGUGAUGAAGGCCUUCGGGUUGUAAAGCGCAGUAGACAGGGAAGAAAAAAAUGACGGUACCUGUCCAAAGGACCGGCUAACUACGUGCCAGCAGCCGCGGUAAUACGUAUGGUCCAAGCGUUGUUCGGAAUCACUGGGCGUAAAGAGCACGCAGGCGGACUAUUAAGUCAGGUGUGAAAACUAUGGGCUCAACCCAUAGCCUGCACUUGAGACUGGUAGUCUGGAGUCUCGGAGAGGCUGGCGGAAUUCCAGGUGUAGCGGUGAAAUGCGUAGAUAUCUGGAGGAACACCAAUGGCGAAGGCAGCCAGCUGGACGAUGACUGACGCUGAGGUGCGAAAGCGUGGGGAGCAAACA
rnacentral:rRNA from 1 species